rnacentral:rRNA from 1 species
AAUCAACGCUGGCGGCGUGCCUAACACAUGCAAGUCGCACGAGAAAGUGGAGCAAUCCAUGAGUAAAGUGGCGCACGGGUGAGUAACACGUGAAUAAUCUACCUCCGAGUGGGGAAUAACUUAGGGAAACCUGAGCUAAUACCGCAUAACACUUACGAGUCAAAGCAGCAAUGCGCUUGGAGAGGAGUUCGCGGCAGAUUAGCUAGUUGGCGGGGUAAUGGCCCACCAAGGCGAUGAUCUGUAUCCGGCCUGAGAGGGCGCACGGACACACUGGAACUGAAACACGGUCCAGACUCCUACGGGAGGCAGCAGUGGGGAAUUUUGCGCAAUGGGGGAAACCCUGACGCAGCAACGCCGCGUGGAGGAUGAAAUCCCUUGGGAUGUAAACUCCUUUCGAUCGGGACGAUUAU